rnacentral:rRNA from 1 species
GCGUUGUCCGGAUUUACUGGGCGUAAAGAGCGCGCAGGCGGCACGGUAAGUAAGGUGUGAAAUCUCCCUGCUCAACGGGGAGGGUGCACCAUAGACUGCCGAGCUAGAGGGCGGUAGAGGGUGGUGGAAUUGCUGGUGUAGCGGUGAAAUGCGUAGAGAUCAGCAGGAACACCCGUGGCGAAGGCGGCCACCUGGGCCGCACCUGACGCUGAGGCGCGAAGGCUAG